rnacentral:tRNA from 1 species
GGGAGUGUAGCUCAGUGGUAGAGCACUUGCCUAGCAUACAUGAGCCCCUAGGUUCAAUACCUAGCUCAGCCA